GAUGAACGCUAGCUACAGGCUUAACACAUGCAAGUCGAGGGGCAGCAUGGUCUUAGCUUGCUAAGGCCGAUGGCGACCGGCGCACGGGUGAGUAACACGUAUCCAACCUGCCGUCUACUCUUGGACAGCCUUCUGAAAGGAAGAUUAAUACAAGAUGGCAUCAUGAGUCCACAUGUUCACAUGAUUAAAGGUAUUCCGGUAGACGAUGGGGAUGCGUUCCAUUAGAUAGUAGGCGGGGUAACGGCCCACCUAGUCUUCGAUGGAUAGGGGUUCUGAGAGGAAGGUCCCCCACAUUGGAACUGAGACACGGUCCAAACUCCUACGGGAGGCAGCAGUGAGGAAUAUUGGUCAAUGGGCGAGAGCCUGAACCAGCCAAGUAGCGUGAAGGAUGACUGCCCUAUGGGUUGUAAACUUCUUUUAUAAAGGAAUAAAGUCGGGUAUGGAUACCCGUUUGCAUGUACUUUAUGAAUAAGGAUCGGCUAACUCCGUGCCAGCAGCCGCGGUAAUACGGAGGAUCCGAGCGUUAUCCGGAUUUAUUGGGUUUAAAGGGAGCGUAGAUGGAUGUUUAAGUCAGUUGUGAAAGUUUGCGGCUCAACCGUAAAAUUGCAGUUGAUACUGGAUAUCUUGAGUGCAGUUGAGGCAGGCGGAAUUCGUGGUGCAGCGGUGAAAUGCUUAGAUAUCACGAAGAACUCCGAUUGCGAAGGCAGCCUGCUAAGCUGCAACUGACAUUGAGGCUCGAAAGUGUGGGUAUCAAACAGGAUUAGAUACCCUGGUAGUCCACACGGUAAACGAUGAAUACUCGCUGUUUGCGAUAUACAGCAAGCGGCCAAGCGAAAGCGUUAAGUAUUCCACCUGGGGAGUACGCCGGCAACGGUGAAACUCAAAGGAAUUGACGGGGGCCCGCACAAGCGGAGGAACAUGUGGUUUAAUUCGAUGAUACGCGAGGAACCUUACCCGGGCUUAAAUUGCAGAUGAAUUACGGUGAAAGCCGUAAGCCGCAAGGCAUCUGUGAAGGUGCUGCAUGGUUGUCGUCAGCUCGUGCCGUGAGGUGUCGGCUUAAGUGCCAUAACGAGCGCAACCCUUGUUGUCAGUUACUAACAGGUUCCGCUGAGGACUCUGACAAGACUGCCAUCGUAAGAUGUGAGGAAGGUGGGGAUGACGUCAAAUCAGCACGGCCCUUACGUCCGGGGCUACACACGUGUUACAAUGGGGGGUACAGAGGGCCGCUACCACGCGAGUGGAUGCCAAUCCCAAAAACCUCUCUCAGUUCGGACUGGAGUCUGCAACCCGACUCCACGAAGCUGGAUUCGCUAGUAAUCGCGCAUCAGCCACGGCGCGGUGAAUACGUUCCCGGGCCU
rnacentral:rRNA from 1 species